CUAGUUUUGAAGAAAUCUAGUUAAGGUUAAUAAAAUUAUUAAAUAUUUUAAAAACUUUAACCACAGAGUGAAUACUUGUGGACGCCGCCGACGACGACGCUGACAAAAAAUAGAAUCGAUAUGUCUCGCUUUUUCGACUAAAGUCGAAAGCUAGACAAAACACAGACACAACACGAUAAAAAAAAACACACACAUUAAAAUAUGUAGUUCAUUCUAUUUAUAAAACUAUGAUUAAGUGACUGAAUCCUACAAAUAAUGGUGAGGAAAUUACCCGGAUGAGUAGUCACCUUCUACUUAUUGAAUACCACAUGGUGUACAUGUAUUGCUCGUAAAGAGUAAGUCUCGAAUAACUUGUUUUCUUUUAGAAGUAAAGAAAAUAGGAGGAUGGUUACAUGUGGUCACAGAAUAUGAAACAUACACAUGGUCAUUUGUGAAACAGGUGUUCCAUAACAUUUAACCAAUUUCACUUUAAAUUAUAGAGAUCAAUUAAGCUAUAUCAUUAUGCAAGUUUAUAUAUUUAUGUGCUCUACGCUUAGUUAUUUUUUGACGCGUAAUACCUAUUGUAAGAACCGGUUUUGAUUUCGCGGGUAAUAUAUAAGAACAGGAGCACGUUUUACAGGUAUCGAGGUUAGGCGGUGACCACGUUGAUUACUACUACAGUGUAGACAUAUUUACAGUAGUGUAGAAUUGCUCUGUAGUUCAGAGAUUAAUUGGAUGUGUACUAAUUAUGAUAUUUGUUAAUUUUUAGAUAUUCUGUAAGGCCUGUGUACCAUGAAUUGUUUUAUUUAGUGGACGUUACGUAUUUACAUUCAGUAAAUCCAAUGUUUUG
rnacentral:lncRNA from 1 species